rnacentral:lncRNA from 1 species
GAGAUUCCCUGCUUACCUGAGGAUCUUACAGGCCUUCUUGUCUUUGGACCACCCAGCUCACAUCCGUGCUGAAGCUUCUCAAAUACUUACUCUCCUGGUGGAGCAGCUGUUACAUGAGGUGUUCUGUGAUUCCUAUGGCAACGUAAGCUACUGAGAAAAACAAGAGCCCUGAAGAAAGGAUCCAUUUCAAGAGGUUGAAAAUGGAAACUAAUGACUCAAGCAUCAAGAGGGAUGGCCAAGGCAGAAAAAAUUGACAACAGUCAGCAAAGCUGUAUCGUAAAAAAGAUGAAGGAACAUAAAAGAAUAAAGGGAAAACUUAACAUUUAUAUAUUUGAUAGGAACAAGACCCAAUGAUAAUGAUUUUUUUUUAACGGUCCUGCAUGUGUAUACAUGAGCUAUCUGUACCAACAAACUGGCAAAUAGUAAAUACAAUCAAUUUUAAAGGACUGAAGGUGACUGAAGGAGGCCUCACUGUUUCCUGGCCUCCAGGCAAUGCAUUUUUAAAAUAGAAAUUGUUUCCUACUGCUCUUUCACAAGG